UAGGGAAUCUUCCGCAAUGGGCGAAAGCCUGACGGAGCAACGCCGCGUGAGUGAUGAAGGUCUUCGGAUCGUAAAACUCUGUUAUUAGGGAAGAACAAAUGUGUAAGUAACUAUGCACGUCUUGACGGUACCUAAUCAGAAAGCCACGGCUAACUACGUGCCAGCAGCUGCGGUAAUACGCAGGUGGCAAGCGUUAUCCGGAAUUAUUGGGCGUAAAGCGCGCGUAGGCGGUUUUUUAAGUCUGAUGUGAAAGCCCACGGCUCAACCGUGGAGGGUCAUUGGAAACUGGAAAACUUGAGUGCAGAAGAGGAAAGUGGAAUUCCAUGUGUAGCGGUGAAAUGCGCAGAGAUAUGGGGGAACACCAGUGGCGAAGGCGACUUUCUGGUCUGUAACUGACGCUGAUGUGCGAAAGCGUGGGGAUCAAACAGG
rnacentral:rRNA from 1 species